UCCGUGUCUAUUGUACCCUGUUGCUUCGGCGGGCCCGCCGCUUGUCGGCCGCCGGGGGGGCGCCUCUGCCCCCCGGGCCCGUGCCCGCCGGAGACCCCAACACGAACACUGUCUGAAAGCGUGCAGUCUGAGUUGAUUGAAUGCAAUCAGUUAAAACUUUCAACAAUGGAUCUCUUGGUUCCGGCAUCGAUGAAGAACGCAGCGAAAUGCGAUAACUAAUGUGAAUUGCAGAAUUCAGUGAAUCAUCGAGUCUUUGAACGCACAUUGCGCCCCCUGGUAUUCCGGGGGGCAUGCCUGUCCGAGCGUCAUUGCUGCCCUCAAGCCCGGCUUGUGUGUUGGGUCGCCGUCCCCCUCUCCGGGGGGACGGGCCCGAAAGGCAGCGGCGGCACCGCGUCCGAUCCUCGAGCGUAUGGGGCUUUGUCACAUGCUCUGUAGGAUUGGCCGGCGCCUGCCGACGUUUUCCAACCAUUCUUUCCAGGUUGACCUCGGAUCAGGUAGGGAUACCCGCUGAACUUAAGCAUAU
rnacentral:rRNA from 1 species